rnacentral:rRNA from 1 species
CCUACGGGUGGCAGCAGUGGGGAAUAUUGGGCAAUGGGCGCAAGCCUGACCCAGCAACGCCGCGUGAAGGAAGAAGGCUUUCUGGUUGUUAACUUCUUUUAAGGGGGGAGAGGAGAAGACGGUACCCCUUGCAUCAUCCACGGCUAACUACGUACCAUCAGCCGCGGUAAUACGUAGGUGGCAAGCGUUGUCCGGAUUUACUGGGUGUAAAGGGCGUGCAGCCGGGAGGACAAGUCAGGUGUGAAAGCCCGCGGCUCAACCGAGGAACUGCAGUUGAAACUGUUGUUCUGGAGUACCGGAGAGGUCAUCGGAAUUCCUUGUGUAGCGGUGAAAUGCGUAGAUAUAAGGAAGAACACCAGUGGCGAAGGCGGAUGACUGGACGGCAACUGACGGUGAGGCGCGAAAGCGUGGGGAGCAAACAGGAUUAGAUACCCCAGUAGUC